rnacentral:rRNA from 1 species
GACGAACGCUGGCGGCGUGCCUAAUACAUGCAAGUCGAACGCUGAAGCUUGGUGCUUGCACCGAGCGGAUGAGUUGCGAACGGGUGAGUAACGCGUAGGUAACCUGCCUGGUAGCGGGGGAUAACUAUUGGAAACGAUAGCUAAUACCGCAUAAGAGUAGAUGUUGCAUGACCUUUGCUUAAAAGGUGCAAUUGCAUCACUACCAGAUGGACCUGCGUUGUAUUAGCUAGUUGGUGAGGUAACGGCUCACCAAGGCAACGAUACAUAGCCGACCUGAGAGGGUGAUCGGCCACACUGGGACUGAGACACGGCCCAGACUCCUACGGGAGGCAGCAGUAGGGAAUCUUCGGCAAUGGACGGAAGUCUGACCGAGCAACGCCGCGUGAGUGAAGAAGGGUUUCGGAUCGUAAAGCUCGGUUGUAAGAGAAGAACGAGUGUGAGAGUGGAAAGUUCACACUGUGACGGUAUCUUACCAGAAAGGGACGGCUAACUACGUG